rnacentral:rRNA from 1 species
UACGUAAGGACCGAGCGUUGUCCGGAAUCAUUGGGCGUAAAGGGUACGUAGGCGGUUAGAAAAGUUUGAAGUGAAAGGCUAUAGCUCAACUAUAGUAAGCAAUUAAAACUGAAUACCUUGAGAGAUGGAAGGGAAAGUGGAAUUCCUAGUGUAGCGGUGGAAUGCGCAGAUAUUAGGAAGAAUACCAGUGGCGAAGGCGACCUUCUGGGCCUAAACUGACGCUGAGGUACGAAAGCGUGGGGAGCAAACGGG